UAAGGGAAUUCCGAGUGCAAGGGCAUACAGUCCUCGCUAUUGUUUACCGUAGGGUGGUACACGACCAAAACCUGGGCAAGACCGGUGCCGCCCGCCCCGGUAAUACCGCCAGCUCGAGUGAUGGGCCGAUUUUUUUGGGCCUAAAGCGUCCGUACUUGGCCCUGCAAGUCCGUCGGGAAAUCCACUCGCCUAACGAGUGGGCGUCCGGCGGAAACUACAGGGCUUGGGACCGGAAGACUUGAGGGGUACGUCUGGGGUAGGAGUGAAAUCCUGUAAUCCUGGACGGACCGCCGAUGGCGAAAGCACCUCAAGACGACGGAUCCGACAGUGAGGGACGAAAGCUAGGGUCUCGAACCGGAUUAGAUACCCGGGUAGUCCUAGCCGUAAACGAUGUUCGCUAGAUGUGGCACAGGCUACGUGCCUGUGCUUGUCGUACAAAGCCGAAAACGAACCGCCUGGGAAUACGUCCGCAGGAUGAAACUUAAAGGAAUUGGCGGGGGACACUACAACCGGAGGACCUGCGGUUUAUUG
rnacentral:rRNA from 1 species